rnacentral:rRNA from 1 species
UAGGGCGAAAGCCUGACGCAGCGACGCCGCGUGGGGGAUGACGGCCUUCGGGUUGUAAACCUCUUUCAGCAGGGACGAAGCGAAAGUGACGGUACCUGCAGAAGAAGCACCGGCCAACUACGUGCCAGCAGCCGCGGUAAUACGUAGGGUGCAAGCGUUGUCCGGAAUUAUUGGGCGUAAAGAGCUCGUAGGCGGUUUGUUGCGUCGGCUGUGAAAUCCCGAGGCUCAACCUCGGGUCUGCAGUCGAUACGAGCAAACUAGAGUGUUGCAGGGGAGACUGGAAUUCCUGGUGUAGCGGUGAAAUGCGCAGAUAUCAGGAGGAACACCGGUGGCGAAGGCGGGUCUCUGGGCAACAACUGACGCUGAGGAGCGAAAGCGUGGGGAGCGAACAGGAUUAGAUACCCUGGUAGUCCACGCCCUAAACGAUGAGAACUGGAUGUCGGGAGGGUCUGCCUUCCGGUGUCGUAGCUAACGCGUUAAGUUCUCCGCCUGGGGAGUACGGCCGCAAGGCUA